UUGGACACGAACUUUAUGUGCCA
rnacentral:sRNA from 1 species